UACGGAGGGUGCAAGCGUUAUCCGGAUUCACUGGGUUUAAAGGGUGCGUAGGAGGACAGGGAAGUCCGUGGUGAAAUCUCCGAGCUUAACUCGGAAACUGCCGUGGAUACUCUCUGUCUUGAAUCCCCUGGAGGUGAGUGGAAUAUGUCAUGUAGCGGUGAAAUGCUUAGAUAUGACAUAGAACACCGAUUGCGAAGGCAGCCAACUAUUCUAUUCCUGACACUGAGGCAUGAAAGCGUGGGGAGCAAACCGG
rnacentral:rRNA from 1 species